rnacentral:tRNA from 1 species
GCCUGGGUGGCUCAGUCGGUUAAGCAUCUGACUUCAGCUCAGGUCAUGAUCUCACGGUUCGUGGGUUCGAGCCCCACAUAGGGCU